rnacentral:misc_RNA from 1 species
CCGAGUUUACAACUCCCAACCCUAUGUGAACCUUACCAUUCUGUUGCUUCGGCGGGAUCGUCCCGGGUGCGGUCGAAAGGCCAGCCCCGGAUCAAGGCGCCCGCCGGGGACCUAAACUCUUAUCUUAUAGCGUACCUUCUGAUUAAAAAGACAAACAGUCA